AUCAAUUCCGGUUGAUCCUGCCGGCGGCCACCGCUAUUGGAAUUCGCUUAAGACAUGCGAGUCGAGAGGUGCAAGACCUCGGCACACUGCUCAGUAACACGCGGAUAACCUGCCCUUGGGUGGAGGAUAAUCUCGGGAAACUGAGGAUAAUACCCCAUAGGCCACGGAAGCUGGAAUGCUCCAUGGCUAAAAGUUGAGGCGCCCAAGGAUGGGUCUGCGGCCUAUCAGGUUGUAGUGGGUGUAACGGACCCACUAGCCUAUGACGGGUACGGGCGUUGGGAGACGUCGCCCGGAGAUGGGUUCUGAGACACGAACCCAGGCCCUACGGGGCGCAGCAGUCGCGAAAACUUGGCAAUGCGGGAAACCGCGACCAGGGAAUUCCAAGUGCUAAUGCUUUGCAUUAGCUGUUCCCCUGCCUAAAAAGCAGGAGAAGUAAGGGCUGGGUAAGACGGGUGCCAUUUGCGAACAGGGGUGAGCAAAUUAAGACUUGCCCCCGCAAGACACAAGCCGCCGCGGUAAUACCCGCAGCCCGAGUGGUGGUCAUUAUUAUUGAGCCUAAAGCGUCCGUAGCCGGGCUCGUAAAUCCUUGGGUAAAUCGGGCAGCUUAACUGUCCGAAUUCCGAGGAGACUGCGAGCCUUGGGACCGGGAGAGGUCAGAGGUACUCCAGGGGUAAGGGCUAAAUCUUGUAAUCCUUGGGGGACCACCAGUGGCGAAGGCGUCUGACUAGAACGGAUCCGACGGUAAGGGACGAAACCCUGGGGCGCAAACGGGAUUAGAUACCCCGGUAGUCCAGGGCGUAAACGCUGCAGGCUUGGUGUUGGGGGUCCUACGGGGGCGCCCAGUGCCGGAGAGAAGUUGUUAAGCCUGCCGCUUGGGGAGUACGGUCGCAAGACUGAAACUUAAAGGAAUUGGCGGGGGAGCACCGCAACGGGAGGAGCGUGCGGUUCAAUUGGAUUCAACGCCGGAAAACUCACCGGGGGCGACCUUUACAUGAAGGCCAGGCCAAUGACUUUGCCCGAUUUUAGGAGAGGUGGUGCAUGGCCGUCGUCAGUUCGUACCGUAGGGCGUUCUGUUAAGUCAGAUAACGAACGAGACCCUCACCCCUUAUUGCUAGCUUCCCCUCCGGGGGAGGUGCACAUUAGGGGGACCGCUGGUGCUAAAUCAGAGGAAGGAGAGGUCAACGGUAGGUCCGUAUGCCCCGAAUCCCCCGGGCUACACGCGCGCUACAAAGGACAGGACAAUGGGCUCCUAUGCCGAAAGGCAACGGCAACCCCGAAACCUGUUCGUAGUUCGGAUUGAGGGCUGUAACUCGCCCUCAUGAAGCUGGAUUCCGUAGUAAUCGCGGGUCAACAUCCCGCGGUGAAUAUGCCCCUGCUCCUUGCACACACCGCCCGUCAAACCACCCGAGUUGGGCCUGAGUGAGGUUGCCUUUCUUGAGGCGCUCGAACUCAGGUUCAGCAAGGAGGGUUAAGUCGUAACAAGGUAUCUGUAGGGGAACCUGCAGAUGGAUCACCUCCUAAGAAA
rnacentral:rRNA from 1 species